AAAGGAGUGGCGUAACUGCUCGCUCUCCUUCUCUGCAUUCACUCACCUAUUCUCUUUGGGAAAAUAAGGAGGAUCCUGAUGCUGCCUCCAUACCUUGAGUACAGGAGUGGACGACAGAUAUAAGAGUGGGACGCUUUUGAUGCAGGGUGUGCAGUCAUCAUUUGGAGUUUUUGAGGGGAAAGCAGGCCAGAUGUUUUUCACCCAUGACCAAGUAGCUGUGGAGAUGAAGCGGUAUUACACAGCGGGAAAGCUAAUUGCUUGGUCUCUCAUGCAUGUUGGACCAGGUAUCAAAGCACUAGAUACCACAUUAUUCAAACUAAUGUGUGACCAACCAGAUUCUGCAGAAGAAUUUGACUGGCAUAACCUGCCAGAUGUCGAAAUUCAAGAUACAGUGCGACAGACCCAACAAGACAUAGAUGGAAGAGUAACAAGCCUUGGGGACUGGAUUGUUGACGGUGGAGUCCCAGGCAUUUACAGUGCAACACCCAAGGAUAUGAGACGAACCUACGGGCAGCUGAUCAAACACUACAUUCA